GGAGGGUCAAGACUAGGGGAUUAAACGGAAGCUGCGUGUGCACAUCCGGGUUCUCAGGAUCUUGUACAGCAUGUAUUUCGUGACUUUCAUCCGUCUUUGCUGAUAGCGCAAUAUUUGUGAGAUAACAGGACUCCUGAACUCCUGAUUUGUUCAUGUUGUUAGUAAAUUCACAGGCUAUGACAAAGGAAAUUGUGAUACGUUACUCGUUCGGAAGGCACAGUCCAAUUUCCGGUUUUCGAAUGUCGACAACAUAAUCAGAGACACACGGUGAUCUUCACGACAUGAUGAGUAUGAGAACAAAACAUAUGGAAGAUUUAAAUACAUCAUUUAUUCUGCACAGUCUUCCUAUCAUGUAACAUACUACAUGGUCCAACUUAAUGAAUGUCAUUGAGUGCCUUUAGUUUCGGUUGUUGUUAGCCUGAUUCA